AAAACGAACGCUGGCGGCAGGGCUCAUUUUAACAAGUCGAACGCCCCUUCGGGGGAUUGGCACGACGGGUGAGUACAUCGAACUACCAGAGGUUCGGAAUAACUCAGAAACUUGAGCUAAUACGGAUAGCCUUACGAGGGAAAGAUUUAUCGCCUUUGGAUGGGCCCGCGGCAGAUUAGUUUGUUGGUGGGGUAAUGGCCUACCAAGACUACGAUCUGUAGCUGGUUUGAGAGGAUGAUCAGCCACACUGGGACUGAGACACGGCCCAGACUCCUACGGGAGGCCAGCAAGUAGGGAAUCUUGCACAAAUGGGCGAAAAGCCUGAUGCAGCCAUGCCGUCGUGAGUGAACAAGGCUCUAGGGGUUGUAAAACUCUUUCAAGGCGGGGGAAAGAUAAUGACGGUACCCGCAGAAGAAGCCCCAGGCUAACUCCUGUGCCAGACAGCCGCGGUAUACGGAGGGGGCUAGCGUUGUUCGGAAUUCACUGGGCGUAAAGCGCGCGUACGCGGAUUAGUAAAGUCAAGUGGUGAAAGCCCGGGGCUCAACCUCGGAACUGCCUUUGAUACUGCUAGUCUUGAGGUUCGAGAGAGGUGAGUGGAAUUUCUACUG
rnacentral:rRNA from 1 species